rnacentral:rRNA from 1 species
UACGUAGGGGGCAAGCGUUGUCCGGAAUUAUUGGGCGUAAAGAGCGUGUAGGCGGUCCGGUAAGUCAGCUGUGAAAGUCAAGGGCUCAACCCUUGAAUGCCGGUUGAUACUGUCGGGCUAGAGUCCGGAAGAGGAAAGUGGAAUUCCUGGUGUAGCGGUGAAAUGCGCAGAUAUCAGGAAGAACACCCGUGGCGAAGGCGGCUUUCUGGGACGGUACUGACGCUGAGACGCGAAAGCGUGGGGAGCAAACAGG